CAUCAGAAGCCACAUUGUGAGAAUGUGGCACUCUGGGGAAAUCCUGGUCUGUCUGGACAAAACAUGGUCAGAGCAGGCUGAUAGCUGGGAGCUGCGGAGCAUGUGAUGCAUCUUCCAUAUAGGGGCAGGAGCAAACCAAGACCAACUGAUGGACGCCCUAGGGCCAGACUUGCAGACAAUAUAUAACCUACUGCAUGAUCUAAAACGCUUCCCACUUCCACAGAGCGAACAUCAGGCAGAGCGGAGCCGCAGCGAGGGAAGAGGAGUCCUGCGUGCAGAGCUUGGGAGGAGCAUCCUUCGGAUCUGGGGAGAAAAGGGACCGACCCCAUUUCCGAUGUGCCGUAAGGAGCAAGCACAAGCCCGGAUGGAGCGAUCCGCGGACGGGGCAGGGAUUGCGGAGGCAUCCCAUAGCUCUGCGGCACAGGCUCCUCUCUGGCGUCCAGGGUGACUUCCUGGGCACAACC